CCUGGGAAGAGGACGAAAGAGAGGUUCGAAGAACGCUAGGAAUGACAACAUGAAGGAAGGCAAUCUCUAUUUUCGGCUUUGUGAUCAGAUACGAAAAUUGAUGUCUUCCUGAUGCCUCUCAUUCCUACUGUUCUUAGGUUCUCCUUCCUCUUCCUUUGGCUU
rnacentral:pre_miRNA from 1 species